AACGAACGCUGGCGGCAGGCUUAACACAUGCAAGUCGAGCGCCCCGCAAGGGGAGCGGCAGACGGGUGAGUAACGCGUGGGAAUCUACCCAUCUCUACGGAAUAACGCAUGGAAACGUGUGCUAAUACCGUAUACGUCCUUCGGGAGAAAGAUUUAUCGGAGAUGGAUGAGCCCGCGUUGGAUUAGCUAGUUGGUGGGGUAAAGGCCUACCAAGGCGACGAUCCAUAGCUGGUCUAAGAGGAUGAUCAGCCACACUGGGACUGAGACACGGCCCAGACUCCUACGGGAGGCAGCAGUGGGGAAUAUUGGACAAUGGGCGCAAGCCUGAUCCAGCCAUGCCGCGUGAGUGAUGAAGGCCCUAGGGUUGUAAAGCUCCUUCACCGGUGAAGAUAAUGACGGUAACCGGAGAAGAAGCCCCGGCUAACUUCGUGCCAGCAGCCGCCGUAAGAC
rnacentral:rRNA from 1 species